UUAAGCUACUAAGAGCACACGGAGGAUGCCUAGGCGCUAGGAGCCGAUGAAGGACGUGGCGAACAACGAAACUGCCUCGGGGAGCUGUAAGCAAGCUUUGAUCCGGGGGUGUCCGAAUGGGGAAACCCAGCUGGGGUAAUUUCCAGUUACUCAUAACUGAAUACAUAGGUUAUGUAGAGGCAUACCAAGGGAACUGAAACAUCUAAGUACCUUGAGGAAGAGAAAACAAUAGUGAUUCCGUCAGUAGCGGCGAGCGAACGCGGAGAAGCCCAAACCAGAGAGCUUGCUCUUUGGGGUUGUGGGACAUCUCACAUGGAGUUACAAAGGAACCGGUUAAACGAAGAGGUCUGGAAAGGCCCGCCAAAGAAGGUAAAAGCCCUGUAAUUGAAAGUCUGUUCUCUCCGAGAUGUAUCCCGAGUAGUGCGGGCACGUGAAACCCCGUAUGAAUCCGGCAGGACCAUCUGCCAAGGCUAAAUACUUCCUAGCGACCGAUAGUGAAGCAGUACCGUGAGGGAAAGGUGAAAAGCACCCCGGAAGGGGAGUGAAAUAGAACCUGAAACCGUGUGCUUACAAAAAGUCAGAGCCCGUUUUAGGGGUGAUGGCGUGCCUUUUGUAGAAUGAACCGGCGAGUUACGUUCCCGUGCAAGGUUAAGGUGAAGAGCCGGAGCCGCAGCGAAAGCGAGUCUGAAUAGGGCGACAUAGUACGUGGACGUAGACCCGAAACCGGGUGAUCUACCCCUGUCCAGGGUGAAGGUGCGGUAACACGCACUGGAGGCCCGAACCCACGCAUGUUGAAAAAUGCGGGGAUGAGGUGGGGGUAGCGGAGAAAUUCCAAUCGACUCGGAGAUAGCUGGUUCUCCCCGAAAUAGCUUUAGGGCUAGCCUCGGAAAACAGAGUCGUGGAGGUAGAGCACUGAUUGGGUGCGGGGCCCGCAAGGGUUACCAAGCUCAGUCAAACUCCGAAUGCCAUAGACUUACUUCCGGGAGUCAGACAGUGAGUGCUAAGAUCCAUUGUCAAAAGGGAAACAGCCCAGACCAUCAGCUAAGGUCCCCAAGUGUGUGUUAAGUGGGAAAGGAUGUGGAGUUGCACAGACAACCAGGAUGUUGGCUUAGAAGCAGCCACCAUUGAAAGAGUGCGUAAUAGCUCACUGGUCGAGUGACUCUGCGCCGAAAAUGUAACGGGGCUAAACACACCACCGAAGCUAUGGCUUGAUGCUUUGCAUCAGGGGUAGGGGAGCGUUGUAUAAGGGUUGAAGGUGUACCGUAAGGAGCGCUGGACAUUAUACAAGUGAGAAUGCCGGUAUGAGUAACGAAAAGAUCAGUGAGAAUCUGAUCCGCCGAAAGCCUAAGGGUUCCUGAGGAAGGCUCGUCCGCUCAGGGUAAGUCGGGACCUAAGGCGAGGCCGAAAGGCGUAGUCGAAGGACAACAGGUCGAAAUUCCUGUACCACCGUAAGCCGUUAUGAGCAAUGGGGGGACGCAGCAGGGUAGUGACGCGGACUGAUGGAUGUCCGUCUAAGCAGUGAGGCUGAUGUGUAGGCAAAUCCGCACAUCGUUAAGGCUGGGCUGUGAUGGGAGCGAAAAUUAUAGUAGCGAAGGUCAUGAUCUCACACUGCCAAGAAAAGCCUCUAGCCAGGUGAUGGUGCCCGUACCGCAACCGACACAGGUAGGCGAGAAGAGAAUUCUAAGGCGCGCGGAAGAACUCUCGUUAAGGAACUCGGCAAAAUGACCCCGUAACUUCGGGAGAAGGGGUGCCCCGGUAGUGUGAAUAGCACGAGGGGGCCGCAGUGAAAAGGCCCAAGCGACUGUUUAGCAAAACACAGGUCUGUGCGAAGCCGUAAGGCGAAGUAUACGGGCUGACGCCUGCCCGGUGCUGGAGAGGUUAAGGGGAGCGGUUAGGAGCAAUCCGAAGCUGUGAACCGAAGCCCCAGUAAACGGCGGCCGUAACUAUAACGGUCCUAAGGUAGCGAAAUUCCUUGUCAGGUAAAUUCUGACCCGCACGAAUGGCGUAACGACUUGGGCGCUGUCUCAACGAGAGAUCCGGUGAAAUUUUAAUACCUGUGAAGAUGCAGGUUACCCGCGACAGACGGAAAGACCCCAUGGAGCUUUACUGCAGCUUGAUAUUGAAUUUGGGUACGAUCUGUACAGGAUAGGUGGGAGCCUUUGAAACGUGAGCGCCAGCUUGCGUGGAGGCACCGUUGGAUACCACCCUGAUCGUAUCUAGGUUCUAACCUGGUACCGUAAU
rnacentral:rRNA from 1 species